rnacentral:rRNA from 1 species
GACGAACGCUGGCGGCGUGCCUAAUACAUGCAAGUGGAACGCGUUGAUAACAUCGGAGCUUGCUCCACCGUUAUCAACGAGUCGCGAACGGGUGAGUAACGCGUGGGUAACCUACCUCUUAGCGGGGAACAACGUUUAGAAAUGAACGCUAAUACCGCAUAACAACACGGAACACAUGUUUCAUGUUUAAAAGGAGCAACUGCUCCACUAAGAGAUGGACCUGCGUUGGAUUAGCUAGUUGGUAAGGUAACAGCUUACCAAGGCAAUGAUCCAUAGCCGACCUGAGAGGGUGAUCGGCCACAUUGGGACUGAGACACGGCCCAAACUCCUACGGGAGGCAGCAGUAGGGAAUCUUCGGCAAUGGACGAAAGUCUGACCGAGCAACGCCGCGUGAGUGAAGAAGGUUUUCGGAUCGUAAAACUCUGUUGUAAGAGAAGAACGGGUGUGAGAGUGGAAAGUUCACAUCGUGACGGUAUCUUACCAGAAAGGGACGGCUAACUACGUGCCAGCAGCCGCGGUAAUACGUAGGUCCCGAGCGUUGUCCGGAUUUAUUGGGCGUAAAGCGAGCGCAGGCGGUUUCUUAAGUUGGGUGUAAAAGGCAUUUGCUUAACGAAUGUAGGCAUCCAAAACUGGGAGACUUGAGUGCAGUAGAGGAAAGUGGAACUCCAUGUGUAGCGGUGGAAUGCGUAGAUAUAUGGAAGAACACCGGAGGCGAAAGCGGCUUUCUGGGCUGUAACUGACGCUGAGGCUCGAAAGCGUGGGUAGCAAACAGGAUUAGAUACCCUGGUAGUCCACGCCGUAAACGAUGAGUGCUAGAUGUUGGGGAGCUUACGCUUUUCAGUAUCGCAGCAAACGCAAUAAGCACUCCGCCUGGGGAGUACGACCGCAAGGUUGAAACUCAAAGGAAUUGACGGGGACCCGCACAAGCGGUGGAGCAUGUGGUUUAAUUCGAAGCAACGCGAAGAACCUUACCAGGCCUUGACAUACUCGUGCUAUUCCUAGAGAUAGGAAGUUCCUUCGGGACACGGGAUACAGGUGGUGCAUGGUUGUCGUCAGCUCGUGUCGUGAGAUGUUGGGUUAAGUCCCGCAACGAGCGCAACCCUUGUCUUUAGUUGCCAUCAUUCAGUUGGGCACUCUAGAGAGACUGCCGGUGAUAAACCGGAGGAAGGUGGGGAUGACGUCAAAUCAUCAUGCCCCUUAUGGCCUGGGCUACACACGUGCUACAAUGGAUGGUACAACGAGUCGCUACACAGCAAUGUGAUGCUAAUCUCUAAAAACCAUUCUCAGUUCGGAUUGUGGGCUGCAACUCGCCCACAUGAAGUCGGAAUCGCUAGUAAUCGCGGAUCAGCACGCCGCGGUGAAUACGUUCCCGGGUC